rnacentral:tRNA from 1 species
GGUCGUGUGGCUGAGUGGCUAGGCAAAGAUCCGAAAGGUCUUUUACGGCGGUUCGAAUCCGUCCGUGACCG